GCCGAAGUACCUCGAACCCGAACUUCCACUUAAUUACGACAAUGCCACUCGUCCUCACUUUAGCUUCAAGCUCGCCCUUGGGCUUCCAAGGCUCGACCCUCUUGGCUUCUCCUUGUCCCAAGGCUCGCCCCUCUCGGCAUCUCCUUGCCUCAAGGUUCGCCCCUCUCGGCAUCUCCUCACCUCAAGGUUCACCCCUCUCGGCAUCUCCCUUACAAAGUGUCACGGUAGCACUACUCCUAAGUGCGGCUCGUGACACCGCGCGUGGCGAGGGCCCCUACUUCGCCGAGAAGAUUGUUCGUUUGCGGAUGGUUGAUUGAGGUCAAGGUUCUACGACACGCGCGACCACAUGGGCGUAGCAUCACGC
rnacentral:lncRNA from 1 species